rnacentral:lncRNA from 1 species
CUCUGGGAACAAAAAUGUAUGGUUCCCCAUAUCCUUGUGCAGUGCUGCUAGAAUUCAACAUGAUUCUUCACUAGACAUUUUGUCCAUACCACUGGACAGGAAGAUUUGUAAGAGAUAACUUUUCUUUCAGCAUCCAUUUUCCUAGUAGCAUUCCCACUCUUUUCAAAACUUUUGUUUUGGAUUGCUACUUCUGUGUUAUUGAUAUUGAACAUGAAAAAGGUAAAUGAGCAGCUUGAUUAAUUCAGAACAAUUCAGGAUUUUGUAGUAUAUUUUUCUAAUACUUGUUCCCUUUGGCUCAGCUGCCAAACAGCAGCAGGGGCUCACAUAUAUAAAAAAGUAGCUUUCCACAGGAUUCAAUACCAGAUUGGAGGUAGAAUUUAUUGGUAGAUUUCAGGAGUAUAGCCUCAGGAACUACAUUUAAGAAAUAUAGCUUAUCUGUCCAGUAUUCUUAAAAAUAACAUAUGUACAUAUUUUAACUGGUGGAUUAUUUGGAUUAAGUUUUCCAUCGUAGAGCCUGAGUUAUAAGUAAUAUAGGAAGACAGAAGAGAAACCAGUAUGAAAGAUCAAGAGGCAAUUAAAGUACAAGAUUUCAAUAAGAUACUGAAAAUGAGCCAAGAAAAAAUUGAAAUACUUAAAAGUGAGUUGUCAGAAGAGAGGGAAAGGAGAAAGCAAUUGACACCUGAUCUUAACACUGUACAGAAGGCUUUGAAAAUUGAAAGUGAGGUAUUUGACAUUUUGCCAUUCAGGAUAUUCUUUUUCUCUAUUGAAUGCCUAAAUUAGGGAUACCACGUAACUAUUUAUUUUGACUUUAAAAUAAAUUGAA